GACGUAGGGUCCGAGCGUUGUCCGGAGUUACUGGGCGUAAAGGGCGCGUAGGCGGUUAUCUGCGUCACACGUGAAAGCCCCUGGCUCAACCAGGGAGGGUCGAGUGAAACGGGGUAACUGGAGGCAGAGAGAGGCUGGUGGAAUUCCCGGAGUAGUGGUGAAAUGCGUAGAGAUCGGGAGGAACACCGGUGGCGAAGGCGGCCAGCUGGCUCUGACCUGACGCUGAGGCGCGAAGGCGUGGGGAGCAAACAGG
rnacentral:rRNA from 1 species